CCAAAGGCUCUUCUAAGAGCCACCACUUGACCACCGGAGAGAGCUG
rfam:Merops nubicus contig51957, whole genome shotgun sequence.